GGGGAUUGACCCUUCCGUGCGCAGUACCCCAAUAAGUAAUCCACCUGGGAGUACGCCGCAAGGCUGAACUCAAAGAAUUGUCGGGGCCCGCACAAGCAGUGGAGUUUGUGGAUAAUUCGAUGAUACGCGAGAACCUUACCCGGGCUGAACUGCAGCCGAACGAUAGAGAGAUCUGAGGUCCUUCGGGACGGCUGUGGAGGUGCUGCAUGGUGUCGUCAGCUCGUGCCGUGAGGUGUCGGCUUAAGUGCCAUAACGAGCGCAACCCCUUUCGCCAGUUGCCAUCAGGUGAUGCUGGGCACUCCGGCGACACUGCCACCGUAAGGUGUGAGGAAGGUGGGGAUGACGUCAAAUCAGCACGGCCCUUACGUCCGGGGCUACACACGUGUUACAAUGGGGAGUACAGAGAGUCAGGUGCCGGCAACGUCACCUUAAUCAAGAAAGCUCUCCUCAGUUCGGAUUGGGGUCUGCAACCCGACCCCAUGAAGCUGGAUUCGCUAGUAAUCGCGCAUCAGCCAUGGCGCGGUGAAUACGUUCCCGGGCCUUGUACACACCGCCCGUCAAGCCAUGAAAGCCGGGGGCGCCUGAAGUCCGUGACCGCGAGGGUCGGCCCAGGGUGAAACCGGUGAUUGGGGCUAAGUCGUAACA
rnacentral:rRNA from 1 species